rnacentral:lncRNA from 1 species
UUGCAUGUUUCUAACAAGGAAGCGCCCAUCAAAUAAAUUGCUCUCUUGCCUCUUUCAACUUCUUCCUGCCAAUAUUGUUUGACAAAAAAAAGAUUAUUAAAUAUUUGAGAAAGGAGCUCACAUACAUUUAACAAUUUUAGUUCUAUAUUAACUAUUUACUAACAGGAAGUUUGUUCAUCACCAAGUCCAGGCAAAAACCAUCAUUCUAACAAGUUCCUAAUCUCUUCUACUCAUAAUUCUAACAUCAAAUAAAUAUUACUAAUUACCAUGAAGCAAGAGGAUCUUUUGUUGUAACAUGUAUAUUAUAAGAGCAAAAGAUGACACAUAAGAAGUAAAUAAAAUUAAAACAUGUACCUGAGGAGCAUGUAAUCCAUUUAAAUUGUAUUAUGAAAAUUUAUUUGUGGAAGACGACUAGUUUCCGACAUUAUAUUCUAUGCUCAAAAGGAUGCAAUCUUCCACAAAUAAAAAUAUCUCCUACAUUUCUCAAUAUAUAACCAAAAAAAUCUUCAGAAUCCUAAAUUGGAAUUAAAUCAUCAUUUAUGAAGUCAAAGUGAAGUUAGCAUGUGAUAUUUCUCAUUGAGGCAUUUCAUCGAACAUGUUGAGUGCAAACAAAUAUCUAUAUUUUUCAAUAACACAGAUGUCUAUUUUUAUACCUACAAUCAACACAAAGAUUUAACUUUUUUUAAAAACAUAUUAACUAAACAGGUUCAACUUAACAAUUAGGCAAAAACAAUUCAUAAAGGUCAAACAAAUGUUAGGAGUCAACAAUAGAAACAGAUAAUACCUAAAUUUUGAUCGACAAUGGAUCAUCUUCUUCGUUCAGGUCUUCAAUCUACAGUGGAGGCCGAGAUGAAGUCGGCGAUUACGGUGUACUCCGGGGAACUGAUGGAGGAUAAACGAUUCAAAAUCAAAGCAUCUUCAGUGGAGUUUUUCUUUGAAGAACAUGAGAUCAAGGAGUUCAGCAACAAUGAAACUUCGAUCGUUUGGGGAUUUCAGAUUUCAUAUAGAUUGAUGAUCGAUGAUGAUAGUUUGAUCGAUUGGGAUAUGGAAAUCGAUCGUUUAUCUUCACCGUAUUCGUGUGAGUAGAAGCAAUUUUAGAAUCGAAAGCAUGGAAUUGGAUGAAGGAUUAGAGGCAAUUCGACGCAGGUGAAUCGUCGGAAGAUGGAUCGUAGGUUUGAGCGAGAGAGGAAAAUGGGACGGAGAGAGAGAGAGAGAUGAAAAUUUAUUUUAUCAGAUAUUAGAUUCAAGAAAUCAUUUAAGUAUACUUUUAUUCCUAUAAUACCCCUAACUGAAUUAAUUAAGAUACCUCUCCUUCCUUUUUUGUCUACUUAUUUACAAAAACACCACCUUGCAUCUCGACCCUUCAUUUUUUUGA